rnacentral:snRNA from 1 species
CUGUGGUAAAUUUUAGGAU